AGCGAACGCUGGCGGCAGGCUUAACACAUGCAAGUCGAGCGGGCACUUCGGUGUCAGCGGCAGACGGGUGAGUAACACGUGGGAACGUACCCUUUGGUUCGGAAUAACGCUGGGAAACUAGCGCUAAUACCGGAUACGCCCUUUUGGGGAAAGGCUUGCUGCCGAAGGAUCGGCCCGCGUCUGAUUAGCUAGUUGUUGAGGUAAUGGCCUACCACGGCGACGAUCAGUAGCUGGUCUGAGAGGAUGAUCAGCCACACUGGGACUGAGACACGGCCCAGACUCCUACGGGAGGCAGCAGUAGGGAAUCUUGCGCAAUGGGCGAAAGCCUGACGGAGCAACGCCGCGUGAGUGAUGAAGGUCUUCGGAUCGUAAAACUCUGUUAUUAGGGAAGAACAAAUGUGUACGUAACUAUGCACGUCUUGACGGUACCUAAUCAGAAAGCCACGGCUAACUACGUG
rnacentral:rRNA from 1 species